rnacentral:rRNA from 1 species
AACGAACGCUGGCGGCAGGCUUAACACAUGCAAGUCGAACGAUCCCUUCGGGGAUAGUGGCAGACGGGUGAGUAACGCGUGGGAACCUACCUUUAGGUACGGAACAACAGUUGGAAACGACUGCUAAUACCGUAUGUGCCCUAUGGGGGAAAGAUUUAUCGCCUAAGGAUGGGCCCGCGUUGGAUUAGCUAGUUGGUGGGGUAAUGGCCUACCAAGGCGACGAUCCAUAGCUGGUCUGAGAGGAUGAUCAGCCACACUGGGACUGAGACACGGCCCAGACUCCUACGGGAGGCAGCAGUGGGGAAUAUUGGACAAUGGGGGCAACCCUGAUCCAGCCAUGCCGCGUGAGUGAUGAAGGCCCUAGGGUUGUAAAGCUCUUUCAGCGAGGAGGAUAAUGACGUUACUCGCAGAAGAAGCCCCGGCUAACUUCG